rnacentral:rRNA from 1 species
GACGAACGCUGGCGGCGUGCUUAACACAUGCAAGUCGAACGGAAAGGCCCUGCUUUUGUUGGCUGCUCGAGUGGCGAACGGGUGAGUAACACGUGAGUAACCUGCCCUUGACUUUGGGAUAACUUCAGGAAACUGGGGCUAAUACCGGAUAGGAGCUCCUGCUGCAUGGUGGGGGUUGGAAAGUUUCGGCGGUUGGGGAUGGACGCGCGGCUUAUGAGCUUGUAGGUGGGGGAGUGGCUAAGGACGGCUUUGACGGCCAGCCGGCCUGGGAGUGUGACCGGGCCCAUGGGGACUCAGGUACGGCCCAGAGUGCAACGGGGGGCAGCAGUGGGGAAUAUUGCACAAUGGGCCGAAGCCUGAUGCAGCAACGCCGGGUGCGGGAUGACGGUCUUCGGGGUAGAAACCGCUUUCGCCUGUGACGAAGCGUGAGUGACGGUAACGGAUAAAGAAGCACCGGCUAACUACGUG